rnacentral:rRNA from 1 species
CCUACGGGAGGCAGCAGUAGGGAAUAUUGCUCAAUGGGGGAAACCCUGAAGCAGCAACGCCGCGUGGAGGAUGAAGGUUUUCGGAUUGUAAACUCCUUUUGUUAGAGAAGAUAAUGACGGUAUCUAACGAAUAAGCACCGGCUAAUUCCGUGCCAGCAGCCGCCGUAAUACGGAGGGUGCAAGCGUUACUCGGAAUCACUGGGCGGAAAGUGCGCGUAGGCGGGAUAGCAAGUCAGAUGUGAAAUCCUAUGGCUUAACCAUAGAACUGCAUUUGAAACUGGUAUUCUAGAGUAUGGGAGAGGUAGGUGGAAUUCUAGGUGUAGGGGUAAAAUGCGUAGAGAUAAAGAAGAAUACUCAUGGCGAAGGCGACCUGCUAGAACAUAACUGACGCUGAUGCGCGAAAGCGUGGGGAGCAAACAGGAUUAGAUACCCCGGUAGUC